AGCAGCCGCGGUAAUUCCAGCCCCAAUAGCGUAUAUUAAAGUUGUUGCAGUUAAAAAGACUCGUAGUUGAAUUUCGGGGUCAGUAGGUUGGUCAUGCCACUGGUAUGUACUGGUCUCACUGAUUCCUCCUUCCUGAUGGGCCGUAAUGCCAUUAAUUUGGUGUUGCGAGGAAUCUGGACUGUUACUUUGAAAAAUUAGAGUGUUUAAAGCAGGCUAACGCUUGAAUACAUUAGCAUGGAAUAAUGAAAUAGGACGUUCGAUCUUAUUUUGUUGGUUUCUAAGAUUGACGUAAUGAUUAAUAGGGAUAGUUGGGGGCAUUAGUAUUCAAUUGUCAGAGGUGAAAUUCUUGGAUUUAUUGAAGACUAACUACUGCGAAAGCAUUUGCCAAGGAUGUUUUCAUUAAUCAAGAACGAAAGUUAGGGGAUCGAAGACGAUCAGAUACCGUCGUAGUCUUAACCAUAAACUAUGCCGACUAGGGAUCGGAUGAUGUUAAUUUUUUAAUGACUCA
rnacentral:rRNA from 1 species